GCUGGAGUAGCUCAGUUGGUUAGAGCGUGUGGCUGUUAAUCACAAAGUCGAAGGUUCGAGCG
rnacentral:tRNA from 1 species